rnacentral:lncRNA from 1 species
GGUAUGGACUAGGCCAUUGGGGCUAAAUGACUUGCCCAGGGUCACCCAGCUAGCUGGACACUUUUUCAGUCCCCUGACCAGGGAGGCUUCUUGUUGUUCAUGUGCCCGUUCAUUAUCCCUGCAGUGUCACCCCAACAGUAAAACAUGUUAGUGACUAUAAUGGACUAAUUUUCUCUUUGAAUUGUUUCCCACAGUCGAUUAUGUGCCAUACAACUCAGAUUAUGACAACCCUGAUGAUUUCUACGGAAGUGAGACUGAGGAUGAUUAUAACAAAGACUGCAUUUCGUGCUAUUAAAUGUAAAAGGCUACAACUUAACCAG